GACGAACGCUGGCGGCGUGCUUAACACAUGCAAGUCGAACGGAAAGGCCCUGCUUUUGUGGGGUGCUCGAGUGGCGAACGGGUGAGUAACACGUGAGUAACCUGCCCUUGACUUUGGGAUAACUUCAGGAAACUGGGGCUAAUACCGGAUAGGAGCUCCUGCUGCAUGGUGGGGGUUGGAAAGUUUCGGCGGUUGGGGAUGGACUCGCGGCUUAUCAGCUUGUUGGUGGGGUAGUGGCUUACCAAGGCUUUGACGGGUAGCCGGCCUGAGAGGGUGACCGGCCACAUUAGGACUGAGAUACGGCCCAGACUCCUACGGGAGGCAGCAGUGGGGAAUAUUGCACAAUGGGCGGAAGCCUGAUGCAGCAACGCCGCGUGCGGGAUGAAGGCCUUCGGGUUGUAAACCGCUUUCGCCUGUGACGAAGCGUGAGUGACGGUAAUGGGUAAAGAAGCACCGGCUAACUACGUG
rnacentral:rRNA from 1 species